CUGUAAAUAGGUGACACUGUUCAGAUAAAUAUCAAUUUUGGGAGGAAAAAAUAGGGCUUUAGUCAGCUGAAUCAUUGCAAUUAUUGAACUCAUAAAAUAACUUCCACUUAAAAAUGAAGGCAAAUCAAUAUGAAGAUUUUAAUGUUGACUUAAUUUGAACACAUUGUACAAACUGUGUUGUAAAGUUCAACAAUUUGACAACUUUGACAAUAAAUUUAUAUUUAAAAAAUAUAAUUUUUAAGCUAAAUUAUUAAUUGUAAAAAAAAUCAGCUUAUGGCACAUUAAUGAGGCUCAGUGUGCUCAUAUAAUUUUKGACAAAUGUAAUAUACAAUACAAAUAUUGGACCAAAUUUAAUUUAUUUGAACUUUAUUCAUAAGUGCUGCAUGCAUCAUCAUCAUUAAAGAUGUGCAACUGAGUUAUAUACUUGAAUAUAAAAUAGAAUUUUUUGAUUAUUUGAUGUCCAUUUUAUUGGUUUAACUUUUUCCCCCUCCUAAAUAAAUCACAUAUGAUGCUGCCUCUUUUUAAUAUCCGUUUUAUUCAAAAAUACACCGAUGUCAAAUCUUCUGUGGUCCUGUUUGAACUUUUUCUUAUACUAAGUUGUUGUUUGGGGUGAGGCUGAAGCAUGUUCAAGUAUAGGGAUAAGAUAAUCACAUUAUCUGAAGAAAUUGUCCAUAAUACAAUUAGAAAAAUCUGUAUUUUGUUACCACCAGAUGACAGUAUUUAUUCUCUCAACUUGUCUUGACAUUACAUCUACAGACCCCUAGUGGAAGGACAGGGAACCAAAAUGUCUUCUAUUAAUACUAAGCAGUAGGUUUAACCUUUCACCCUUAAAUCAAAAAUGUAACAACAAAAAGUUUUCAGAGUAUUUAUAAAUCAAACACCGAUUUGAGAAAACAAGUUCAUUUUCUUACAUAUUCUGCCCUUUUAAGGAAACGCACACACUUUUCCUCAAAGCCGCUGAGCAUACAAAUUUGGAUCCAGAAAGAUGUUUUAUUAAACUGUGGCCGGGAAUAUUGUUCUUAGAAUAUUUACCCACACUGCAGAGAGCGUGCAUGAAUGAAAAGGUCAAUGAAAUGGAUUGAGCGCGAAGAAAAUCACUGCACACUCUUCUUUCUCUGCCAAAAGGUCUUGAGCAGCAUUAAUGUCCUGCUCUCUCUGAUAGAUAAUGAAAGAUUGUGUGUGUGUGUGUGUGUGUGUGUGUGUGUGUGUGUGUGUGUGUGUGUGUGUGUGUGUGUGUGUGUGUGUGUGUG